UUUUUAUUGGACAUUAACCGUUAUAUGUCACGAUUUUAUUGGAGGUUGACAUUAAUUAGGUACACGACACAUAACCGUUAAUGUUCAAUAAAAGCGCGACACGUGACGAUUAAUGUUG
rnacentral:pre_miRNA from 1 species